UACGGAGGGUGCGAGCGUUGUCCGGAAUCACUGGGCGUAAAGGGCGCGUAGGCGGCAUGCCAAGCGUGUGGUGAAAGCCCGGGGCUCAACCCCCGGGGUCGGCCGUGCGGACUGGCGUGCUCGAGCACUGUAGGGGCGGGUGGAAUUCCGGGUGUAGCGGUGGAAUGCGUAGAUAUUCGGAAGAACACCAGUGGCGAAGGCGGCUCACUGGCCCGGUACUGACGCUGAGGAGCGAAAGCAUGGGGAGCGAACAGG
rnacentral:rRNA from 1 species